GAUGGGGCUAUCUCGACGGAGAGAAAAGCGGUACGCCUUACCGCCUGCCUCAUCACCUCUAUUGUUAAGG
rfam:Xenorhabdus khoisanae strain MCB contig180, whole genome shotgun sequence.